GUCUACGGCCAUGCUGUCCUGAACAAGCCUGAUCCCAUCUAAUCUCGGAAGCUAAGCAGGGUCGGGCCUGGUUAGUACUUGGAUGGGAGAUCACCUAGAAAGAUCAGGUGCUGUAGGCA
rnacentral:rRNA from 1 species